rnacentral:sRNA from 1 species
CCCUCUGGGACCAGCGCUGUGCCACUAAUGCCUCUCUCUCUCCCAGCAGGCACUGGGAAAACCCCUUAUCAGUUCACCACCUUGGGACAGGCCACUGCAGAGUUUUCCAAACCACUGGGUCGCAGUGGGCUGUCUAAAAAUAAUCCCGGUACCUGCCCAUUUUCCAUCCCUCCCCUUUUCUCUCCCACAGCGGGGCAGGUGGGACAUGGGGGGCUCUCUGCCACUUCUAGGGUGUGCCGGUCCCUUCUCCCCAGAGCUCCCUGGAGAGGGAUGCAUGCCCCACCUGCCACCCCAGCACACUCUCUAUCUGGACUUCUGCCUGCUGCACAAGGCGGGUGUCUUGGGCCACCCUGACCCCACCCCUGUUUCCAUUCUCCCCUCUCUCAUGGCUGGCAUGGGAUUUUCUUUCUGGGAACUGAGAGAUGAGGCCUGAAUUACCCCUCUUAAUCUCCACUCAGGAUCCCUGGAACCCCCCUUUCCAAGGCUGCUCCCACCCUCAGAUGCAGGAAGAGACCCAGGUUCUUUGCUCUGUCUCCUCCCCCUCCUCCUUGCUCAGUGCCAACCUGGGAAGGGCCAACCCAACUGGCAGCCUGGCAGUGCUCAUCAUGAGCCUGACCUGCUCAUCCUCACUUAGAGCAGGGCAGGAGAGGGGCUUUCCCGAGACAGACCGCAUGCAGCCUCUCACUGGACAGAGAUCUGGCCAAGGACAGACCCUGCUUAUUUCUUGAGGGCCUCAGCAUCCAGGUCAUGGCCUGUGUCUUCCCAGGCGUCCCUGCAGGCUGAUGGCUGACACUGAGAGUGCCUUCACUGUGCUGUGAACCAGAGCUCCUUUCAGGUCUGUCUGGGCUGAGGCGCAGGGAGUCAAGGCGGCCCCGUCUUAGACUAGCAUCUUUGCAACCAAGCUCAGAGAGCGCACCUGCUCCAGGCCUCUUGGGCUUGCCAUCCUAACCCUGGGUGGCGGCCACAAUGACAAAUUCCUGCACCUCUCUAGGCCCUAGUCUCUGGCUAGUGAAACAGGGGAGGGGCCACAGAGCCAGGGAGAAAAAAACAUGAAUUUGGGUUUUGGAUUUCCGGCACUCUGUCCCCCGCCUGCCUGCGGUGCUCCCCAGCACCUGGUUUGGAAUCCUGACUGCUGCUUAUGAGCUGUGCAACUCAGGCAGACUGCUGAGCUCAUAGAUACGGGGCCAGGCUCAGUGAGGAGACAUCUACAAAGUCCCUUCCACAGUGCUUGGCACAAGUGGGGCUCCGUGAAUGGGAAGCAUCGUCCAAACAGCACAGGGGAGUCCAAGUGAGCGCCUCCUGCUGGGAAACUCUGGCAGGCCAUGCUUAUGCGUGGCGCUCCUGGGCUCUGGGAAGGGGAGGGCCCGUGGUGUAAACCUCCGGGGUGGGUGAGUGGAAAUCCCUGCAGAGCAGUGUGAUGCUGCGCUGGAUGUGGGGGCAACACUCCCCUGCUGCCUGGUCCAGCCCACCUGGCCGGCUCCUCCUCCUUCUGUCUGCUUUGCUGCCUCCUCCCUUUGGCCAGCCUCCCCAGGAUUUUCGGUUGCGGCACCCUGGCUGCUGCACGCGUGUUCAGACGGCUGCAUUUGGUAAUGGGCUGGAUGAUGCUUGGUGGUCACUUUGGAGAAGGCAGCUGUGCUGCUCUGGCCCCGGGGACCCCUGACCACCAGCGCUGCUCCCUUUGACCUGAAUCUCUUGUCUUCCCAGGCUAUCCCUCCCUCAUGCGGAGCCAAAGCCCCAAGGCCCAGCCCCAGACUUGGAAAUCUGGCAAGCAGACUAUGCUGUCUCACUACCGGCCAUUCUACGUCAACAAAGGCAGUGGGAUUGGGUCCAACGAAGCCCCAUGAGCUC